CAGGUAAGUAGUGUAAUUUCUGCACAAUUGAUUUUCAUUCAAUUAGAAUAUAAAGAUAUCUAUCUGA
rnacentral:tRNA from 1 species